UACGUAGGGUGCGAGCGUUGUCCGGAAUUAUUGGGCGUAAAGAGCUCGUAGGCGGUCUGUCGCGUCGAUCGUGAAAACUUGGGGCUUAACCCUGAGCUUGCGGUCGAUACGGGCAUGACUGGAGUUCGGCAGGGGAGACUGGAAUUCCUGGUGGAGCGGUGAAAUGCGCAGAUAUCAGGAGGAACACCCGUAGCGAAGGCGGCACUCUGGGCCGAUACUGACACUGAGGAGCGAAAGCGUGGGGAGCGAACAGG
rnacentral:rRNA from 1 species